rnacentral:misc_RNA from 1 species
UGCCACUGAAGUGUUUUGAGGCAAUUUCUUCAUACCCUUUGAUUCUCUGAUUAAAGAAGAACAAGGAGGAGAAAAAUGGCAUGUGUAUCCCAGGCAAUGAUAUCAGCAAACACAUGCACAUUCACUUCCCCACGGCUCUUCAAGAAAUGCCUAUCCUUAAAUAGGCAAAAUUUUAAGAUUUUCACCAUUAGAGCUUCCUCUGAUGACCCUG